UAAUGUCUUAGGUUAAACAAACCUGUAGCCUUCAAAGCUACGAAUGGGCAAAGUACCCAGACAUU
rnacentral:tRNA from 1 species